AUACCCCACUAUGCCUGACCGUAAACUUUACUUACACCUCAAUCGUCAGGGAACUACGAGCAAAGCUUAAAACCCAAAGGACUUGACGGUACCCCAUAUCCCCCUAGAGGAGCCUGUCCUAUAAUCGAUAAUCCCCGUUUAACCUCACCACAUCUAGCCCAUCAGUCUGUAUACUUCCGUCACAGGCCUACCACAUGAGUGAUACUCAGUUAGCCCAAUGUCCCCACAUAAAGGUGUUUACAUCGACAAUACGUCAGGUCAAAGUGCAGCAAACGAUGUGGGAUGAGAUUGGCUACACUUUUUAUCUUAAAAGAAACGGAAAACAAUAAUGAAACUUUGUCAGAAGGUGGAUUUAGCAGUAAAAGUAAAAUAUAAAAUUUCUUUUAACUCGGCACUGGGGUGUGUACACACCGCCCGUCACCCUCUUCAAAAAUCUCAAACCAGUACUUAACUAACUAUCAAAAAUAAAGAAGAGGCAAGUCGUAACAUGGUAAGCGUACCGGAAGGUGUGCUUGGAAA
rnacentral:rRNA from 1 species